rnacentral:lncRNA from 1 species
UGCUGUCCCCUGCCAGUCUGCCACCUCUCUUCUCAUGAGGGCCCAUAAUGCAGUUGAAAUCAUCGAUGAUGAGGGACGGCUGACCCUGCAACAUCAGCCUGCAAAUCUCGACCCAAAGCACCCUUCGCUCCCUGUAGUCGGUGCUCGCAUAAACGACAGAAAGUAGCUAAGGUCCACCAGUCUGCUUUGAGAUGAUCAAAGCCACCUGCUGCUCACAUCUGUGAAAAGCAUCCAUCCUGAU